rnacentral:rRNA from 1 species
CGGCGGACGGGUGAGUAACGCGUGGGUAACCUGCCCUGUACACACGGAUAACAUACCGAAAGGUAUGCUAAUACGGGAUAACAUAAGAAAUUCGCAUGUUUUCUUAUCAAAGCUCCGGCGGUACAGGAUGGACCCGCGUCUGAUUAGCUAGUUGGUGAGGUAACGGCUCACCAAGGCGACGAUCAGUAGCCGACCUGAGAGGGUGAACGGCUACAUUGGGACUGAGACACGGCCCAA